rnacentral:rRNA from 1 species
GUUUGAUCAUGGGCUCAGAAUGAACGCUGGCGGCGUGCCUAACACAUGCAAGUCGAGCGAGAAAGCCCCUUCGGGGGUGAGUACAGCGGCGGACGAGUGAGUAACACGUGAGGAUCUACCCUUUAGUGAAGAAUACCCUCGAGAAAUCGAGGCUAAUGCUGCAUACGUUUUCCCAGGGAAACCUGGGAAGGGAAAGGUGGCUUUUAUGCUACCGCUAGAGGAUGACCUUGCGGCCUAUUAGCUUGUUGGCGGGGUAAUGGCCCACCAAGGCGAUGAUGGGUAGCCGGCCUGAGAGGGUGAUCGGCCACGCUGGAACUGAGAUACGGUCCAGACUCCUACGGGAGGCAGCAGUGAGGAAUCUUGCGCAAUGGGCGAAAGCCUGACGCAGCGACGCCGCGUGGGGGAUGAAGGUCUUCGGAUCGUAAACUCCUGUUAAGUGGGAAGAAAAGCUCAUCUCUAAUAUAGAUGAGUCAUGACGGUACCACUAGAGAAAGCACCGGCUAACUUCGUGCCAGCAGCCGCGGUAAUACGAGGGGUGCAAGCGUUAUUCGGAAUAACUGGGCGUAAAGGGUGUGUAGACGGCGCAUUAAGUCCGUUGUUAAAUCUUCCGGCCUAACCGGAGGGCUGCAAUGGAUACUGGUGUGCUAGAGGAUGGAAGAGAGAAGUGGAAUUCCCGGGAGUAGCGGGUAAAAUGCGUGGGAUCUCGGGGAGGAACACCGAUGGCAAGGCAGCUUCUUGGUCCAUUCCUGACGUUGAGGCACGAAAGCGUGGGAGCAAACAGGAUUAGAUACCCUUGUAGUCCACGCUGUAAACGAUAAUCACUAGACGUCAGUCCGGCUUAGCUGGAUGGUGUCGAAGCUAACGCGUUAAAGUGAUUCGCCUGGGGACUACGGUCGCAAGACUAAAACUCAAAGGAAUUGACGGGGGUCCGCACAAGCGGUGGAACAUGUGGUUUAAUUCGACACUACGCGAGGAACCUUACCUGGGCUUGACAUGCACUUGACAGCCGUAGAAAUACGGUCUUUCGGGUUUCGGCUCGAACGGGUGCACAGGUGCUGCAUGGCUGUCGUCAGCUCGUGUCGUGAGAUGUUAGGUUAAGUCCUCUAACGAGCGCAACCCUUGCUGCCAGUUGCCACUGCCUUUAAGGUAAAGCACUCUGGUGGGACUGCCUGGGAAACCAGGAGGAAGGUGGGGAUGACGUCAAGUCAUCAUGGUCCUUAUGUCCAGGGCUACACACGUGUUACAAUGGCCGGUACAACGGGCUGCAAAGCCGCGAGGUGGAGCGAAUCCCAAAAAGCCGGUCUAAGUUCGGAUUGAGGUCUGCAAUUCGACCUCAUGAAGCUGAAAUCGCUAGUAACCGCGUAUCAGAACGACGCGGUGAAUACGUUCUCGGACCUUGUACACACCGCCCGUCACACCACGAAAGCUGUCUGUACCCGAUGUCGCCUUAGCUAACCCGAAAGGGAGGCGGGUGCUUAAGGUGUGGAUAGUGAUUGGGGUGAAGUCGUAACAAGG